AUUGUUUUAGAUAAAUUAUAAUUAAAAAAAUGUAAACUUAUUAUAUGAAAAUAAAUUUUAAUUUUUAAAAUUUUGACAUAUUAGAAUGAUAAAUUUAAAUUAACUUUUCAACUAAUUUCAAAUAUACUUUUUAUAAUAUUUAGAUAAUUAAUUAUUUAAAUAUUUUAAUAUUUAAAUAUUUUAAUUAAAAUUAUAAAUAAUA
rnacentral:tRNA from 1 species